ACAGUUCUUGUUUAUUUCUUUGAACGCCAUAAUGGAGGUUGUUGUCUGAUGUGAGAAUGCUGUGCCGGUGAGAGAACAUUCCGUCGUUGAUUCGUAUCGGAUGCAAUGACUCAUCGCCUUAACAUCCUACCUAGUCAACGAAAGUCUACAUAGCACAAGCAUGUCGGACAAACUGAAGGCGGCGUUGCAAGAGGAGUAUCCGCUCCACUGGUUGGCUUGGCAUAACGACUACGAAGCCCUAAAAACACUCCUCGAAAAGAGCGCAGAAAACAUUGAACGGCGUGACUGCCGAGGGAGGACAGCCCUCAUGCUGGCUGUCACGCUGGGCCAUCUUGAAGCAUCAAAGAUUCUUCUCAACCAUGGUGCGAACGUCAACGUGGAGAACAAUGACGGCUACACAGUGGUCCAUGAAGCAGUGAGCACAGGUGACCCUGAGCUUCUGGCAGAAGUGUUGACCCGGCGAGACCUCCAACGCUACAGCACAUCCGUCGGGGGUAUCCCUGAUCUCUUGAAGCGGAUCCGGGACACCCCGGACUUCUAUGUGGAGAUGAAGUGGGAGUUUACAAGCUGGGUACCACUUCUAUCUAGGAUGUGUCCAAGUGACACCUACAAGGUCUACAAGAGUGGAGCUAAUGUACGGAUAGACACUACUCUGCUUGGAUUUGACCAGUCUAACUGGCAGCGUGGGCGUAGGAGCUACAUAUUCAAGGGACAAGAGGAUCUUGCCCUGAUGAUGGAAGUGGACCAUGACAGCUGCCAGGUGCAUGUAGAGCAGAUGCAGGUGUUGCCACCCGAAUACGUGGAUCUGACGGGGAGCUUGCGGCCCUCACAGGAGGCCAUCUCUUCGCGCCUCACCUCUCCUGUGGUGGCCACGUACAUAGACACCGACAAGAUCAGCUUUGAAAGAAACAAGUCUGGAAUCCUUGGCUGGAAGAGUGACAAGAGUGAAACAGUCAACGGUCAUAACUGCAAAGUGUUCAGUGCGACAAAUGUGGAACUCGUGACCAAGACCAGGGUGGAGCACCUUUCAGAAGCGGACAAGGCUCGUCACAAGGCUGCACGAUCGCCAUUGCAGUCUUUCUUGGGUACAAUCGAGGUUGAAGAGGGUGCGGCUCUGGGAACGCCAAACGGGGAUUUGACAGAGUGGCGAGGCAACCCAUGCCACAUUCGUCCAGAAGAAUAUUUCAAUGCCAAAGUGGAUCUGGGAGGCCGAGAUAUUGGGCGACCCCGAGAGGCAACUGUACGCACCCAGAAGUUCCGUGCCAAUCUCUGGCUCUGUGAGGACUAUCCACUGUCUUUACCUCAGCAGAUUCUUCCAAUAGUAGACCUUAUGUCGAUCAACAGCACCCACUUUGCCAGGCUACGGGACUUCAUCACUCUCCAACUCCCUGCGGGCUUCCCAGUCAAAAUUGAGAUUCCCCUGUUUCACGUGCUCAACGCCCGAAUCACCUUCGGCAACAUAAACGCCUUCGACGAGCCUGUCCCAGGGGUGACCACUAUGCGGGAGCAGGGGACAGUGAAGUGCAAGAUCGACGAGAGCUGCUUCGAGGCCCCCAGCAGCUAUGCACGGCUCGGCCUGAGAGCCCGCCGCGCUCGCCCCCGCCGUGCACCGCUGAGCCCCGAGAGUAGACGCAAACAUAGGGAGAAGCGUCGGCUGGAGGUGUGUGCAAAAUACGGUCAAGGAGGGUUGCAGCAACCCCCGGCCAUGCCAAAGGGCCCACAGCCGCCGGGGCAAAUAAAAUGCGACAGUUCAACGUCAACGACGAGGACGACGAACUCCUCCAGUAUGCCAUCGAGCAGUCAUUCGUGGAGGCUGGCGGGGAAGAGAAUCAGGUCACUGUUUGGGAGGCCCUGACAACUGACCAAACCGGAGUUGCACCAGAGCUGGAAGAGGAUCAUGCUUUGCAGAGGGCCAUCCAGGAGAGCCUAGCCAGCUACCAGAAGUCGAUCGGUGUUGCAGAUGGAGAGCUCACGGCAGGUGGUGGGGUGCAGCAGCAGGUGCAGCCGCAGGUGCAGGUGCA
rnacentral:misc_RNA from 1 species